AUUUUUUUUUUUUUUAAAUCAGCAAUUCAUCAAUCACCUAAGAGACUGUAAGCAUGAAAGGCUUGAAGAGCUGUUCUGCAGUAUUUCAGAGGCUACGUUACCGGUGGAGUCCUGCAUUUACCUCCAAGAUGAAAUUCCUCUUCUGCUCUUGUAGCAAUUUGGGAUUUCUGAGCAAUUUUCUGGUUGGGCCCUGUUGCUUUUGAGCCAGCUCUCAUGGAUAAAAAUUCACUGCUACAGCAGCUGAGGAGGUGAAGAGGACCAGGCUUGGUAUUCUCUCUCAGGCCUCCUCGUUCAAGUGUGCAGAGGUCCAUAUGGAGACAAAGAAGAUGAGGAAAAGGGAAAUUCAGGGCAGCAAGAGACAGGGUAAGGACUGGAGCGAUGGAAAGAUCAGCAUCAACUCUAAGAGCAAAGAAACAAACAGCUCCUGCGCCUGCUGCCAUAGCAGAAGUAGGUCCUGUUUCCUCAUCAGGGAAAGACCUGCAGGUUACAACAGGAGUUAACCACAGCUUUCCCAAAAACUCUCCUCUGAACUGAUUCCAAGCUGGAUCCUGGAUGCUGCAAGGCUGUCGUGUCAGGAUGCUGCCAGAGGGAUUGUUAACAUCUUCUGACUGUAGAGCUGGUGAAGUUUUGCCCUGUGUGCAGGGAAUGCCACAUUCAUGGACAGGGAACUGUUUUCCUUUGCAGUGUUCUCGCAGCUGCUGUUUUGAAAGGAGCUAACACUCUUAGUUCCUGGAAAUCGAAGCUAAAUGUGAGCAGGGCUUGGAGGCAGGAGGCAAGAAGAAUCCCCUAGAAGAUUGAAGUGUUUCUCGUUUCUGGGAAAGCUAAAUAAAGCAGGAUUCCAUUCCCAGUGGCUGAAGAGCAGCAAUUUAUGAGCUGUUCACUGAAAGCCACAGACAAGCACCGAGUCCUGUGGGAAGCUGAGAGCGGGCACAGGGCAUCUCCAGAAGACUCUGUUGUUGCAGUAGCUUUAAUUUUAAACCUGUUUGUUUGUUUGUUGCAAGUGGGGAAGCCAGUCCAGGCAAACACAUAAGGCCAACCCUUAGAAGAGCAAACAGCUUUCUCCAGAGAAGUGAGCCAGUGGCCAAAGUCUUUUCCAUUUCUCUGCCUGGCUUGUGGCCUCGGACUACUGUGCUGUUUAAAACGUGUGUUUUGAGAAGUCAGAUCAAUAGCAGAUGUUUCACAGCUCUGCAAGCAGUCAUUGUGCAUAAUAAUCUGGUUAACUAAGAAAUGGGCCCAGACCAGAGGUGUUUCUCAUUUACCUAUGAAGUGUCUUGCUUUAAAAGUGUGUGUAGUCAGUUCUUGUUGUGAACACGUUGAGUCCAUUGCCUGCUCUAAAGAAGGUAGUGACUUAGUCUCAGUGGCUGUAGAGAGUUUCACUGUGUAGUAGCAGCCCUGUUUGUAGUCUUUUCAUGUGAUUUAGAAGGCACAGUAGCUAGACAGCUCUGAAAAGUGUAAUAUAAUUGUAUGUAGCAUUCCCAGAAGAUGCUCUGAAGCCUUCUCCCAUUGUGAUCCAAAAGAAAACCUCGGCUGUUUUCCAAGCUCCACCAGCCCAUGUGGUGUUGUGCUGGGCUGAAUCUGAUUGGCACUGAAAAGUGAAGGGCAGAGGGGGGGGCUUUGGCCUGGAAUGCCAUCCCUUUGGCAGCAGCAAAGGUCAUUCCUGCAGUCAAAUGUCCCUAACCAAAGGUGGAUCCACGCUCAAUGUGUUGCCAGCUCUUUGCAUAGGAGGGGGGGGUAAACCCAAAAAUUAUUCUGGGAGGGGGAGAUACUGAGAGGAAGAGUGGAGUAAAGGAUGAAGCACUUGGUGCCAUGGUUUAGUUGAUGAGAUGGUGUUGGGUGCUAGGUUGCACUUGAUGAUCUCGAAGGUCUUUUCCAACCUGGUUAAUUCUGUGUAUUCUGGAUGUGGGUAGUGAGUCUAGGUAGAUAAUGCUCUCACACCUCCCUUUUUAGCAGGGUUUUCCUCCUGGAGCCAAGAGCUCUCUUUCCCCAGAGAUUUAAUGGAGUGAAAGGUUUCUUUCUGUCACAGUCUCAUUUUCUAAGGGCAAGCCUUUUGCUGAAAACUUGGUUGGACUUGAUGAUCUCAAAGGUCUUUUCCAACCUGGUUAAUUCUGUGUUCAUACCCUGAGCAUGACAGCUGGGAUUUUCAGAAGGUGCUCUUAUGGAUGCUGGGCAUUCAAGUUACCUAGGACCCUUUAUCAAUAACCCCCUCUGCAUGUUCAGCAGCUGCCUUUAGCCUGCCUGCAGUGCCCACGGUCAGCACGUGAGGGAAAGGAGGCAGAAGGCAGCUCCCCCUGAUUUGGCAGCCCUCAGCAGCUGUAACAGGCUGGGACUGCUGGCUGGUGAGCUGUGACUCAAACUGGCUUAUAGGACUGGGCUUAAAGAAACCCUGGGGUGCCAGCUCCAAAGAUGGUUUUGGCCCAGGUCUGCUAAGUAGUCCUGAGUGUGGCUGUGAGCCUGCAGCUCCCAGGAGGCAACAUGCACUUCAUGUUCAUUGUUUGGGUGCUGUCCUGGAUCCACUAGGACAGAAUCCCAGGCCAACCAUGGGCUGCAGGCCAUUAGCAGUUCUGAGUCAGCCAGCUUGGCUACAGAUGUGUCCCAGACCAUGACCACCACACGCAGUAUAAAGGAGAAAGUCUGCUGGGAAGAAGGGAGGCUUCUGUUUGGGCUUCUCUUCAUCCUGCUCCUUCCUCUGCCUUUCUGGGUGUUGUGACUGCUGCAGUGCUGCUGAGCUCAGUGUUACGUUUCUGAACUUGGUAUUGACAUUGGUAUGAAUUUGGCUAUAUCACACAAACAAUCAACCAGGUUGGAAAAGACCUCAGAGAUCAUCAAGUCCAACCUGUUACCUGACACCCAACACCUCAGGACAACUAAACCAUGGCUCCAAGUGCCACGUCUAAUCCUUUUUUGGAGGACCUCUAGGGAAGGUGACUCCACCACCUUGUUUCCCUAGAUCUGUUUUCAUUUCAGGCUGUGGGUUUUCUCUCCUUUGCCUGAUUCCCCCUUCUCUGCUGCAGAGGGGUCCCUGGGUGAUAGAGUAAGUGCUAGGGUUUAACCCCAGGUAGGGCCUAAGCACAGAGAGGUGCAAGCAACAUAAAGACCUACUCUGUGUCUCAGAGCAGGGCAUCUUGAGGUGUGGGACUUCUCUGAGUCACUUUGUGUUGUGAUUUGUGUGGCAAGGCCAGGUGGUUUGUCAUUAGUAACCAGAGCUGCCAUGCACCUUUCUUUCAAGAGGCCUUCAGACUCAGCCUAAGUGCAGGCUGGCUUUAGGAAGGUACAAAUAGGCUGCAGAUGUCUGUGGGUACCCCAGAGACAUGGAGCAUGCAGAUUAAAGACUUCAGACCAUGCUGUGUGUCAAUACAAACAGCAGGGAUGGUAGCACCAGGACCACUUUGCUUUUUGCUGUGAAACCUUGCUCCCAUGCCUUGUUUUAAGGAGGGCAACUGGGAUUUGCAGGCCAGAUCAUGUAGUGAGAGAAGUAAUUCUAGAUGCCUUACCAGAGUGAGGCUGAUUUGUACAGGUCUGGUGAAACAUCUCUGAGAAAUUGUGGCUGGGAGAGGUUUCUCUUCUGUUUGUUGCACUGAAAACCUGAAGCCUUUCAAAUGAAGUGUGUGGUGAACAGAAUUUUUUGGCUGGAUCACUUGCUUCAGGCCUGUUGGGUGGCUUCAGACUCUGAAUGCAAGUAUUUUCAGUGGGAGAAAAGAGGGUAUUUGGCCUGAAAGUUGACCAAGGAGAUUGGACCCAGCUGAGGUUUUGAACAGCCAAUCAUUGUCUGUAUUGGUGAUGCCACAAUAAUGAUAAUCUAUUUGGGCUCAAACCAAGUGUUGCCCAGGCCAGAACCUGAUUAACCCAUGUAACUAGAUAUUUGUGAUUGUUCCUACCAGUGUGAUCCACUGUUCAAUAGGCUAGACAUGAAUAAAGUCAAUAUUUUUUAA